AGCGAACGCUGGCGGCAGGCCUAACACAUGCAAGUCGAACGAACUCUUCGGAGUUAGUGGCGGACGGGUGAGUAACACGUGGGAACGUGCCUUUUGGUUCGGAAUAACUCAGGGAAACUUGUGCUAAUACCGAAUGUGCCCUUCGGGGGAAAGAUUUAUCGCCAUUAGAGCGGCCCGCGUCUGAUUAGCUAGUUGGCGAGGUAACGGCUCACCAAGGCGACGAUCAGUAGCUGGUCUGAGAGGAUGACCAGCCACACUGGGACUGAGACACGGCCCAGACUCCUACGGGAGGCAGGAGUGGGGAAUCUUGCGCAAUGGGCGAAAGCCUGACGCAGCCAUGCCGCGUGAAUGAUGAAGGUCUUAGGAUUGUAAAAUUCUUUCACCGGGGACGAUAAUGACGGUACCCGGAGAAGAAGCCCCGGCUAACUUCGUG
rnacentral:rRNA from 1 species